GUCCACGCUGUAAACGAUGGGUGCUAGGUGUGGGCGGUGUCGACUCCGUCCGUGCCGAAGCUAACGCAUUAAGCACCCCGCCUGGGGAGUACGGCCGCAAGGCUAAAACUCAAAGGAAUUGACGGGGGCCCCGCACAAGCAGCGGAGCAUGUGGUUUAAUUCGACGCUACGCGAAGAACCUUACCAAGGCUUGACAUGACCAGGAAUGUCGUGGAAACACGGCAGCCCUUCGGGGCCUGGCCACAGGUGGUGCAUGGCUGUCGU
rnacentral:rRNA from 1 species